AACGUAGGUACCGAGCGUUAUCCGGAUUUACUGGGCGUAAAGCGCGUUCAGGCGGUUUGGCAAGUCGGGCAUGAAAUCUCUCGGCUCAACCGGGAGAGGUUGUCCGAUACUUCCAGACUUGAGGGCAGUAGAGGGUGGUGGAAUUCCGGGUGUAGUGGUGAAAUGCGUAGAUAUCCGGAGGAACACCAGUGGCGAAGGCGGCUUUCUGGGCCUGUUCUGACGCUGAGGAGCGAAAGCGUGGGGAGCAAACCGG
rnacentral:rRNA from 1 species